UGCAAAUGCUACUGCAGAAGUAACAAAGAGAAGAAUCCUGUAUGAUUGCACGUGUAUGAAUUAAUUUUAGUAUAGUCUCUAAAUAUUUAUAUGCAGGCAAAACUAGUUUGUGUCUCAUAGCAUUUAUAGGGAUGUUUAUUGACCAAAGUGUCAUAGUAGAGAGGCUGCUUGCAAUAUUCUGGUGUAGCAACAUGAAGUUUGUGGGAAAUGAAAGGCCAGAGUAUCCACAACUAUUGAUCAUUGUGGAGUUCUUGGGACUCCUCGUCUUGCAGGACUGAGUCUCAAAGUAAUAAAAUAAUAAGGAAUCACUACUAAAAGUUCAGUUGCAAUACCAGUCUUUGUCAUAAUCAUUUAAGGGUGCAUUAAGUAUUAAGGAAAGGGUUAAGUCAUUAUUACAAAUGAUGGUGCAAACAUUCUGAUGAACUUUGUGUUCUGUUUUAUUUUAAGGUUUUGAAUUAACCAUCAUGCCUCUAGUGUCUCUUUCUUGGGUGCAGGAAUUUCUGCUGGAAUGGAGAGAGAAACGUUUGUGUAAGAACCUGUCACAAAGACAAAUGGGCUUAAGAGAAGGAGCAGUGGUCUUUUAUAUACCAACAAUUUCUGAAGAAUCUUAAACCACAGACAUGAACUGUGAAAAAUUAUACAACCUAAGAAGAGACUCAUGUAGUUUGAAGUUCGCAAAGACAGCAAUCAACAGAACAGCAGAAUUACAGAUGAAGAACUGUUCUGUGGUGAGUAAACUGAAGCUUUCAUACUUUGGGCUUCUUGAGUGAAGAUUGUGCGGCACAUACUCUCAAAUA
rnacentral:lncRNA from 1 species